rnacentral:rRNA from 1 species
UACGUAGGGGUUACACGUUAAUCGGAAUUACUGGGCGUAAAGCGUGCGCAGGCGGUUUUGUAAGUCUGUCGUGAAAUCCCCCGGGCUCAACCUGGGGAAUUGCGAUGGAGACUGCAAGGCUAGAAUCUGGCAGAGGGGGGUAGAAUUCCACGUGUAGCAGUGAAAUGCGUAGAGAUGUGGAGGAACACCGAUGGCGAAGGCAGCCCCCUGGGUCAAGAUUGA